AUUGAACGCUGGCGGCAUGCCUUACACAUGCAAGUCGAACGGCAGCACGGGAGCAAUCCUGGUGGCGAGUGGCGAACGGGUGAGUAAAGUAUCGGAACGUGCCCAGUCGUGGGGGAUAACGUAGCGAAAGUUACGCUAAUACCGCAUACGAUCUAUGGAUGAAAGCGGGGGAUCGCAAGACCUCGCGCGAUUUGAGCGGCCGAUAUCAGAUUAGGUAGUUGGUGGGGUAAAGGCUCACCAAGCCGACGAUCUGUAGCUGGCAUGAGAGGACGAGCAGCCAGACUGGGACUGAGACACGGCCCAGACUCCUCCGGGAGGCAGCAGUGGGGAAGUUUGGACAAUGUGCGCAAGCCUGAUCCAGCCAUGCCGCGGUCAGGAUGAAGGCCUUCGGGUUGUAAACUGCUUUUGUACGGAACGAAAAGGUUUGACUUAAUACGUUGGACUCAUGACGGUACCGUAAGAAUAAGCACCGGCUAACUACGUGCCAGCCGCCGCGGUAA
rnacentral:rRNA from 1 species